AUUGAACGCUGGCGGCAUGCCUUACACAUGCAAGUCGAACGGCAGCAUGGAAGAGCUUGCUCUUCUGAUGGCGAGUGGCGAACGGGUGAGUAAAGCAUCGGAACGUACCGUGUAGUGGGGGAUAACGUAGCGAAAGUUACGCUAAUACCGCAUACGCACUGAGGUGGAAAGCAGGGGAUCGCAAGACCUUGCGCUAUACGAGCGGCCGAUGUCAGAUUAGCUAGUUGGUAGGGUAAAGGCCUACCAAGGCGACGAUCUGUAGCGGGUCUGAGAGGAUGAUCCGCCACACUGGACUGAGACACGGCCCAGACUCCUACGGGAGGCAGCAGUGGGGAAUUUUGGACAAUGGGCGAAAGCCUGAUCCAGCCAUGCCGCGUGAGUGAAGAAGGCCUCGGUUGUAAGA
rnacentral:rRNA from 1 species